GGGUGUGUAGCUCAGUGGUAGAGCGGCUGACCGCAAAUCAGCAGGUGUCCGCUUCAAAUCCGGGCGCACCCU
rnacentral:tRNA from 1 species